rnacentral:rRNA from 1 species
UUGUGUGAAUACAUAGCACAUUCGAGGUAGACGCAGAGAACUGAAACAUCUAAGUACCUGCAGGAAGAGAAAGAAAAUUCGAUUCCCUGAGUAGCGGCGAGCGAAACGGGAAAAGCCCAAACCAGCAAGCUUGCUUGUUGGGGUUGUAGGACUCCAAUAUGGUAGUUCUUUCAGAUAGUCGAAUGACUUGGAAAAGUCAGUCAAAGAGGGUAAAAACCCCGUAGACGAAAUGUGGAAGACACCUAGGAGGAUCCUGAGUACGGCGGAACACGAGAAAUUCCGUCGGAAUCCGGGAGGACCAUCUCCCAAGGCUAAAUACUCCCUAGUGACCGAUAGUGAACCAGUACCGUGAGGGAAAGGUGAAAAGCACCCCGGAAGGGGAGUGAAAUAGAACCUGAAACCGUGUGCCUACAACAAGUCAAAGCCCGUUAAUGGGUGAUGGCGUGCCUUUUGUAGAAUGAACCGGCGAGUUACGAUUGCAUGCGAGGUUAAGUUGAAGAGACGGAGCCGCAGCGAAAGCGAGUCUGAAUAGGGCGUUUGAGUAUGUAGUCGUAGACCCGAAACCAUGUGAUCUACCCAUGUCCAGGUUGAAGGUGCGGUAAAACGCACUGGAGGACCGAACCCACGUACGUUGAAAAGUGCGGGGAUGAGGUGUGGGUAGCGGAGAAAUUCCAAACGAACUUGGAGAUAGCUGGUUCUCUCCGAAAUAGCUUUAGGGCUAGCCUCGGAAUUGAGAAUGAUGGAGGUAGAGCACUGUUUGGACUAGGGGCCCAUCUCGGGUUACCGAAUUCAGAUAAACUCCGAAUGCCAUUCAUUCAUAUCCGGGAGUCAGACUGUGAGUGAUAAGAUCCAUAGUCGAAAGGGAAACAGCCCAGACCACCAGCUAAGGUCCCAAAAUAUAUGUUAAGUGGAAAAGGAUGUGGGGUUGCACAGACAACUAGGAUGUUGGCUUAGAAGCAGCCACCAUUUAAAGAGUGCGUAAUAGCUCACUA